GCUACGGUGGUCUAGCGGUUAGAACGCUGGCCUUGUAAUCCUGGGGUCUCGGGUUCGAUUCCUGGCGGUGCCC
rnacentral:tRNA from 1 species